rnacentral:ncRNA from 1 species
GUGUUCGUUGAUCCGAGAGAAGGUUAGCAUCUCCCUCGACAAGGACGGGAUUACGCACUGCGUAUGAAUCACGAGGUGGUUUAAGCAUAGUCUUCUAUCGAAGAUAUCUAACAGUUUUUUUA